UAAGCGGAGGAAAAGAAACUAACUAGGAUUCCCCCAGUAACUGCGAGUGAAGAGGGAAGAGCUCAUCAUUGGAAUCUGGCAGUGUGUUGCACUGUCCGAGUUGUAGAUGAGGAGUAGUCCAUCUGGGCUGCAUGGCGUCCAAGUACAAUAGGCCGUCAGUGGGACAUCAUAGAGGGUGACAAUCCCGUCCUUGAUGCCAAUGUGCAAGUCCGCUACGAUGGCUAUCUCAGAGAGUCGAGCAGUUUGGGAUUUGCUGCUUAAACAUGGGAGGUAGAUUCCUUCUAAAGCUAAAUACAGGCGAGAGACCGAUAGAGAACAAGUACCGCAAGGGAAAGAUGAAAUAGAACUCUGUGAAGGGAGUCAAAAGGCGUGAAAUUGUUGCGAGAGAAGCGAUUCAAGUCAGCGUAGCUAGGCCCAUCAAGCCUUCUUGCUUUGGACUAGCUUUGCCAGCGGUCUUGUCCUAGAGAAGACUUGACUUUGUAUGUCCAGCCUGGUAUGCACAGGUAGCCCCCUCUGGGGGCCAGUGACAUGGCUGGUGGAAUGGCUUGCAAUCGACCCGUCUUGAAACACGGACCAAGGAGUCUAACAUGUAUGCGAGUAUAAGGGUGGCAAACCCGUAUGCGCAAUGAAAGUGACUUUCGGUGAUUGAGAAUGGCCUGAUGACCAGACAAGCGAUAUUAUGUCCCUCGUACGGCCAUUGCCCAAGUUCCGUGGUAGAUCCCAUGAACAUGGAGUUGGAGCAUACAUGCUAGGACCCGAAAGAUGGUGAACUAUGCCUGGACAAAGCGAAGCCAAAGGAAACUCUGGUGGAGGCUUGUAGCGAUUCUGACGUGCAAAUCGAUCGUCUGAUCUGGGUAUAGGGGCGAAAGAC
rnacentral:rRNA from 1 species